GGAAAAUGACACUGAACCUUUUAACCUGGCACCCCAGAAUGCCACCUCUUUGAGGCAGAACCAGGGGCUCAACACCCAACAGGACAUUUUAUUGCAGCAGAAUGGUGCUGGGAAGCCAUCACUAAUUCUUCAAAGAACACAUUUUCAAAAUGAUGAGUAUGGGUGUUUAGGUGUCUCCUUACAGCCAGUGAAAUGACUUCCUAAGCUGAAGCUGUCCAAACCUUCUAAAGCCAGAUGCUGUUACUCCUCCUGGACCAGGCCAGGCUAGGCUGCCCAGAAAUGGUCCUCCCUGAUUAUGGAGUGCCCAUGUUCAGGGCCUAAAGUCAAUCUCGUUCAGACAGGGAGGGAGGGAGAACUCUGGGAGGCCAUGAUCCUUUUGCCAUUGGAAGCUCAGGUAGAGCCAAACAGAGCCUCUGUUCUAAGGUCUUGGGCCUUCUGGCAGACUUUCUGGGUUGUAGGGCUCACUGUGGACAAUAUCUAGAAAGAAUGAGGCAACCCUGCAUUUACCUCAGGUGCCAUCAUCCUCUAAGGCUCUGGCUUGGUUGCCUGGCUUGGCAGAACUUUGUGCGCUCGGAAUAUUCCAGUAGAUGGUACCUAGCAGCCUUCAGGGUUCCAAUAACAGAAGGCCAGAUGCCAUAGAACUGGCUAGAGAGAAAAAAAAUAAUCUCAGCAAUUUAAUUUUUAAUUUAUUAUUUUUUCAGGGAAGCUAUCUGGUGGCUGUACAUGACCUACACCAGGAAGUCUGUAGUAGUUGCAGGCCACUGAAAAUCAGCCUUCUGGCUUCCACGCUGGCAAGCCACAGUACAAUAGUAGGCAUGCAGUCUCUGCCCUCUCUGAGACCCAAAAUGCUUGGGCCAAAUAGCAGGAAGAGGCAGUUAGCCUUGCCAGGGCAGUUCUCUGGGCUGAAAAUGGGGGCUUGAGAGGUGAUUUUGUCUUCUCCAACAUGUGACUAUGAAACAAGGGUCCUGGUUUUUGCAUGUGUGGUAGAUAGGUAAGGGCCUCGGCAGGAACUGGAGUGGAGUCUGUGUUCAUUUUAGGACUCUGGUUUGUUAUUGUCUUUUUGGUUCCUUUAGAGUAUCCCCUGAAGCCAGGAGGUAAUGAUGCUGGCUUUAAUUAUAGGAAGAAAAAUCAUUUCUAAUGUAAAUCAAUUUGCCAUAGUAAAUGUACUAGGGCAGAAAUUCGCUCUUGUCCUUUGGAAAGUCUCUGUGAUCCCAAGGUUUACUCUGAUAUUAGUUGUUAGGGCCACCCUUAAUUUUUAUAGCAUUCAUGGUAGACUAAAGCUUUUCAUGAAAUAAAUGCAAUAUGGCCUGGCUGAAAACCACGCAGACAAAAACUGAUCUGGAAGUUUCUUUGCUUCCCUUGUCUCCACUUUCUACCCAGCAGCUAUUAUUGUCCCACCUCUGAGCAGGGCCUGCUCUUGCUCUGGGCCUUCCCAGGUUAGAUGGGAAAGUGAAGUCUGCCUACAUGAAGAUGUCACCCAAUCCAUCACUAGGUCCUUCUUCAGCCCUGGCCUCUUUCUAGUCCUUCUCUCCCUUGCUAGCAUUUUGGUUGUUUACCUCCAUCCGCCAUGCACUCCCCUUUCACCCUCACCCUUUAAACAUUCUUCAUUCACAUUGUCUUCCCUUGGUGUCAGCACUGGGCUUGGAGGUGCAAGGUCAUUAUAUGACCCAAAUAGCUGUUCUGGGAGAGCUCUGUUGAUGACGCUUGAGAAACUGUCAGAAUUCAGAAUCAGUUGAUCAUGAGUCCACAGGGCUGGCUCCUGUGCACCUGUUCACUGAGGUCUGAAAAAAGCAACAUCAACAUGGCAUGACAAGAUUCUGAACAUGGCAUUGCUUCAACCGUACUGAACAUCGCCACUCUGGUCCAGUGUUGGAGAGAUGGUCACGUGAGUUCCUAGACAUCCCACUAAGUGUUGGAUGGGGCAUGUGGGUGGGGUGUGGCUCACUUGUGGGAAUUAGUGACCAACAAGACCCAUCUUCAGAGGCCUCCUGUGAGCUUGGGGGGACCAGGAGGGAGCAGGGAGCUGGGGGGAGAGUGCUAGGAGGUGCACUCAGCCCAGCACAUAGAAAUGUUUGUGCAAGACUGUUUCCUUUUUAACACUGAAACAACAACAACAACAGUAAUAAAAACAGUUCUCUCUUUAAACUAUCUAGCAAAGACUAUGUUGGCUUGUUUGAUUCCAUGUCCUGCAGAGAACUGAACUAAGUGAUGUUUUUUGGUUCUGGACUUUCUCCAUCCAGCCAAGAUUCCUUUUGAAGAAAGCCUUUGCUCUGGCAGCCAACCUCCAAGGCCCCCAUGUUCUGGCAGCAGCAGCUGCUUCCCCCCAAGCACUGUGGGAGUGCUUUGAGUCCUAAUGGCUGAAGAUCCAUGAGCAGGCCUCAGGGAUAGAUGCUGACCAUUGCUCUGAUUCUGAGUCUUCAGGUGGCUGUGGACAACCUCUUGGAGAUGAUGCCAGACUCCAGCAAACAGUUUGUCCCAAGAAGACUCCCAGGAGAAAAGGCCAAAGGAGAUGGGUUCCCUGGAGGCCCAGCUGGCUGGCCUGAGGCAGGAGCUGGCGGCCGUCAGCCAAAGACAAGCUGCAGUGGCCAAAGAAAUACACCUUUGGCGAGAAAAGAUGGUGGCCCUGUGCAGUGACGUGGCCUGGCCCAUGAGUCAUGAAUGCCUAUCUUUUAGGAAGUGCAUAAGAUCAUGCAGCAGGCCCUGAAACUCUACAGUGAAGAUCACAUUGAACUGGUGGAUUAUGCCCUGGAGUCCUCAGGGGCCAGCAUCCUCAGUAGCCAAAGCUUAGAGACCUAUGGCACCAGGAUGUCUGUUAUCAGUCUGUUUGGCAUAACCUUGUGGUACCAUUUCCAGAUCCAAAGAGCCAUCCACCAGCCAAAUGUCUACCCUGGCAAGUGCUGGGCAUUUCAGGGCUCCCAGGGCUCCACCUCAUUGCUGUCACCUUGGAGCAUGUGCCCAAAGCCCUGUACCUAAUCAGCAAACAUCACCAGCACUCCCAAAGGCUUUGUCAUCUUGGUGAGUACCUGGACCUUGCAGUUCUUUCUAAAACCGAGGAAAGCCCUUUCUUAACAGCAGCGUUUCGAGGUGAGGAAUGGAAGGAUCUGCCCAUCGUGCAGACGGGACAUCGAGUUUCUUCUCUUGACUCUUUGGGGCCAGCCCUUCUGCUCCUCCCCCUGUUCUUAGGAAGGAGCCAGGAAAAGACAAUGACAGCAGCAAGAACAGCCAAGAUUGUAAUUUGUCUUAGAGUUGGGAAGGGAAGGGGAUCACCUUUUCCUACACAGUCAUCUACUGAGAAGAGAGAUGGAACAUCUACGUAAGGUGGAAUUGGGAGAAAAGAUGGAGCUAGAAGAGGUCAAAUAUGCAAGGGAGAGAGGGAGGUAGUUCCCAGGUGCCUGGCCAGCACACCAACUUCAAGAAGAGUUCCCUCAGGUAAGAAGAGCCAGAGGGAGCCCAAGCCACCUUCUCCAUCACAACUGCCCAUGGCAACCAAGGGCUUCUGCCGCUGCCAUGUGUGCAUUUCUUUCCUGCCUCCAUUUUUGAGUGGAGACAUCACUCUUUUGCUUUCUUUUCCCACAAAGGUGAGAAUUUCCUGUCCUUAGCACUAUCUCUCCCCCUUCUACCAUAACCUGGGUUGCUGAUGCCUUCACUCUCUGAGAACAGGAACUAGGGAGGGUCAACAUGAGUCUCAGAGAAGGCCUGGAACACUGAGGCCUGAAGCUGGGCAUGGACAACCCCUCUCAGCCAUGUUUCUCUUUUAACUAGCCCCAGGGCCCAUGGUUCUUAGAGCGAGCCGCAUGGCCCAGCAACAGCGCAGGGAGCCUCUUGGGUGAAAUGCCUGUGAGUGACGAGACAGAUUUAGCUGACUCUUAGCUCCUCUCAUACCUCAUCAUGGUGGUUUAAUUUGGAAAGAGGCCCUCCUUGGCUCAGGGUACCUCUGGCUUUUUUGAAUCCUGAACCCAAAGUUAAAAACAAAACAAAACAAAAGAAAAACAAACAAUAACAACAACAAAAAAAAAACAAAACUCUUCAUCUGUUUAAGGAAUAAGAACAGGAACAGAGGGCUCUGGGUAUCAUUUCUUUUCACCCCAGAAGUCUCCAGGAAAGUCUCAUUCAAAUCCUGUCCUUCCCCUCUCCCUAUCUUUUCCCCCCUUCUUCUUUUUCACUCUCUUAUCUUUGCUUCUCAUGCUUGGUAACCCCUAUGACGCUGAGGAGAAAAUCCAGAAGUGGGAAAUGCCUCUCACCAGCUGCUCACCUGGACAAAGUCACCUAUAACAUCUCUGAAUGCUCCUCAAGAUACUUCUCUGAGGAUGACUGUGCAGGUUGGCUCUUUCACCUGUUCCACUGCUGCUUCAGAAAUACCUGGUACCACCUGACCACAGCUGCCUCCCUGCAGGACCUCUUUGU